UACGAAGGGUGCAAGCGUUGCUCGGAAUUAUUGGGCGUAAAGGGUAGGUAGGUGGUAAUACAAGUCUGGGGUGAAAUCCCUGGGCUCAACUCAGGACGUGCCUUGGAAACUGUAUUACUAGAGUGCUGGAGAGGUUCGCAGAAUUCCCGGUGUAGCGGUGAAAUGCGUAGAGAUCGGGAGGAAUACCAGAGGCGAAGGCGGCGAACUGGACAGCAACUGACACUCAACUACGAAAGCGUGGGUAGCAAACAGG
rnacentral:rRNA from 1 species